GGAAAAGCUGGGAAUUUGGAGACAGAGACUUCUCUGACAGGCACUCCUCACCCCUGGGGUUCCACUGGCUGCUUCUACCUGGGUCUUGAAGACUGGAGUCCAUGCCGGUGAAGCAAAGACAUGGCAGCAAGAACAGCUGAGAGCUCACAUCUGGAUCUGAAAGCAGGAGGGAACACGGAGAAUGGUACCAGUCUUUGAAACCUGAAAGCCCUUCCACAAUGACACACCUCCUCCAACAAGACCACACCUCCUCGUCCUUCCCAGACAGUUCCACCAACCGGAACCAAGUAUUCAAACAUAUGAGCCCGUGGGAGCCAUUCUCGUUCAAACACUACAGUCACCCAUUCCUUUUCGGGGUGGGGUGGGGGUGUUAAGGGCAGAGAUGAAGGUUCAUGUCCUUGAUCACUGGCUCCAGGGAGUUGUGCAUGCCUGCAUUUCUACAACUGCCCAGAGGAGAGGCUUGGCUCUAUUCUACAGAUAAGGAAACUUGAGACUCAGCUUGGUGACUGAGUCCAUGUGUAAAUAGCCUGCUAGGGUAGGCAGCUCCCCACAGCCUCCAGGCCUGGCCUCUCCCCAGCACAGGGUGACCAGGUACCGCUAGGCUGCUCCCAACAGAACCCCAGGAGUAAACCUUAGCACCCCUUCCCUUCCAGACACUGUUUUUCCCUCCCCGUUUCUGUGAGCACACAGGCUGGUAUUUCCAUCUUGCAGCAGAUGGAGGUGGGGGUGGCCCUGGGCACUGGGAUGGAACCGGCCCUGCUGCCAGGCUGGCGGCCCAGCAGAUGCUCCUCAGCCCGGAGGCGGGGGAGGCACCGCCCACCUCCCCGCUCCCUCCUCUGAGGCAGUUUGGAGCGGGAUGGUUUUCCUAGCACGUAAAUGUCAUUUCCUUCGCGCCUUCCUUUUUUAUCCUUGAGAUGGAAUCGGCUGCUAUCUCCAAAUGCACAUGCUGGCUUCAUCCCACAAACGCCACCACAGGCAGCUCCUCCAUGAGGUUCCACGGCAGAGGACCCGUGAGACCUCACAGCAUCUGCGCGGAGCACUGAAGGCUGAGCCCACAUUGCCACCGCAGGUGGAGAGUGAUCCUGGCCAAUCAGCGUAUUCUAUUCUAUAAUCAGGUGGGUGAUUCCAAUGUAAGAAAAGCCAAGAUACCGCUCAGUGGGUAGGGCGCUUGCCUGGCUGUCAUGAAAUCCUGGGCGCUAUCUUCAGCAUGUGCGUGCAGCGCUUGUGGAGACCAGAAGAGGGCGCCAAUGUCAGUGAAGGGAUGAGGGGGUCGCAGAAGAACAUGGGGUGGGGAGCUAGAGAUGAGCGCUCUUGAAAGGAGAACUGAGUCACCUAGGCAAUAAUGACAUCCUGAAGGUGGAGAGCUAGACCACAAAGUUCAAAAUCUGCCUGGGGACCUGGCGAACUGACUUCAUCUUUCCCCAGACUAGCGGCUGCUGCUUCGCCCUCCUGUAAUGAUCUGCAUGGAGGGGUCUGGAAGCCCGACUGGGGUGGUAAGUAAAUGAAGGAGAGCUGGGGUCAGGGGGGCUGUGCGCACUCUGACGGAACCACACCAACCACAGCAACCUGCAAACUGGAACCUCAGAGUGUACAGCGGUGGAGUCACCUAAACUUGCAGGAGAGGUCUCUGUAGAUGGGUCGUCUGGGGAUACAACGUCCCAGAGGAGGAAGCUGCAAUGUCUAGGUUUUUUUUCUUUUUUUCUUUUUUCUUUCCCCCUAUACUGGUUGUGGUGGUUUGAAUAUGCUUGGCCCAUAGGGAGUGGCACUGUUAGGAGGUGUGGCCUUGUUGGAGGAAGUGUGUCGCCGUGGAGGUGGGCUUCGAGGUCUCUUCCUAUGCUCAGAUUCCACCCAUUGUGGAAGAGAACUUCCUCCUAGCUGCCCGAGGACCGCAAUCUCUCCUGGUUGCCUUUGAAUCAAGAUGCAGAACUCUCAGC